CUUAAUCUUUUAAUUUCCGCAUUUACUUUACUCCUGCAAUUUUAAUUCCGCAAUCUUUAUCAAUAUUCUCGUGCCGCACUAUUCACCCCCCCUCUAGUGACGGGCAUAAAUCCUAACAAUUGGUAUCAGAGCCUAACUCUCUGAAAGCCUUAACCGGUUGAGAGAAAGAUAUAUAUUUUUUGUUGAAAAUAUUAAACGCAGGAAUGAUGA
rnacentral:lncRNA from 1 species